GUGUGGUUUUGCCAGUUGCCAUAAACCCGUAGAUCCGAACUUGCGGUACAACUGAUUCACACAAGCUCGAGUCUGUGGGUAUGUGUC
rnacentral:pre_miRNA from 11 species